rnacentral:pre_miRNA from 1 species
AUAACAUUCGGACCGUCGGUCUACCGAGCAAUUUCAUCAGGUCGGUGGAAAAUGUUCCGUUGUCUU